AGAACGAACGCUGGCGGCAGGCUUAACACAUGCAAGUCGAACGCUCGUAGCAAUACGGGAGUGGCAGACGGGUGAGUAACGCGUGGGAACAUACCCUCCGGUUCGGAAUAGCUCAGGGAAACUUGGAUUAAUACCGGAUACGGCUGAGAGGCGAAAGAUUGAUCGCCGGAGGAUUGGCCCGCGUUCGAUUAGCUUGUUGGUGAGGUAACGGCUCACCAAGGCUAUGAUCGAUAGCUGGUCUGAGAGGAUGAUCAGCCACAUUGGGACUGAGACACGGCCCAAACUCCUACGGGAGGCAGCAGUGGGGAAUAUUGGACAAUGGGCGCAAGCCUGAUCCAGCCAUGCCGCGUGAGUGAUGACGGCCUUAGGGUUGUAAAGCUCUUUCGCUCGGGACGAUAAUGACGGUACCGAGAUAAGAAGCCCCGGCUAACUUCGCGCCAGCAGCCGC
rnacentral:rRNA from 1 species